AGUUUGGAGCGUCUGCAUCUCUUCCUUCACAAUUACUGUGUAUUAUCCGUUCCGUCGUUCGAUACUUUUUUUUUCAUUUUCUGCACGCCCGGUGACGAAAAAUUAUGUUUUGUUGUUGAAGUUAAUCUUCCAAUUGUAUCGAUUUUUUGCGUUAACGUCUAUACGCAAAACCCUCAUCGAGGAUUUUCGAUUUAUCUCCUGAACGAGAUUUAUUUAACACGGUGACGGACAGACACGUGAAUUGAGCUUCAAAAAUGAGUGACGUCGAGGAUCGCAACGGGAAUUCAAAAUCCCGUUCCAUUACUCCCAGCCGAAGCCGCAGCAGAUCGCCUAGCGAUCACAAGUCUCGCAGUCGAUCACCCACUCACUCGAAGACACGUUCUAGAUCACUAUCUCGACCACCCAGUCGAAAUGGUAGCAAGUAUAAGAGCCGCUCUAGGCAUUCAUACUCAAGGUCACGCUCUAGGUCUCGUUCGUAUUCUGGAGAUCGCCGUCGCAGUUAUCGGAGCCACUCACGAGGCUCUGGCUCGAGACGCAGCAGACAUGAAAACCCAAAACCUAAUAAAUGUCUGGGCAUAUUUGGCUUAAGUGUGUACACAACAGAACAUCAACUCUAUGAUAUAUUUGCUAAAUACGGUUCCAUUGACAAAAUCCUCAUUAUUAUUGAUGCUAAAAGUGGAAGGUCUCGCGGUUUUGGUUUUGCUUAUUUCAAAAAGCAUGAAGAUGCUAAGGUAGCUAAAGAAGAAUGCUCGGGCAUGGAAAUCGACGGCCGCAGAAUACGAGUAGAUUUUUCAAUUACCCAACGCCCUCACACACCAACACCUGGAAUUUAUAUGGGCAGACCAACAAUGAGAGAAGAAAGGUCAUCUAGGAGAAGAGGUUAUGAUAGAUAUGAUAAUAACCGAUACGAUCGUGGUGAUAGAUAUGACCGCGGAGAACGUUAUGAUAGAUAUGAUAGAGAUAGAGAUUAUGAUGAUUACUAUGAGGGUGGAUACAGAGGUGGUGGCGGCGGCGGCGGUGGUAGAGGUGGUGGUGGAGGCCACUACAGAGAACGCAGAUCACCAUCAUACUACAAAAAUAGAUCACGUUAUGAUAGAUCACGUUCACGUUCUUAUUCUCCACUUUUUCAGCUUUCAAAGUAUUUAAUCAAGAUUUCUCACAUAUUCAAUUUUUUAUUCAUUUCCUGAAGAACAUAUUCGAAGAAAAGAAUAUUUCAAACUGUCAAGAUAAUAUUAUAUAUAAAUUGACUUGAAGACUUCUCGAACUUCUAUAACUUUAGAACCUUUUUUUUUUUUUUUUAUAAAUUUAAAAAAAAAACUUAUAAGAAGAUUCUUCAAAUUACAAAAGUAGAACACAUGAAGACCCAUGUUCACAAUAUGACCCAAGGGUAGAAAAUUGGUAGACACUGAUGAAGAUCUUGAAGUUUGUCAAGAAAAUUAACAGUUUAUCGCCACUAAUUACAGAGGUCGUAAUAAAACCUAAAUGAGCUGGAAUAUCAUCAACGCAGGAAUGUUUUGUGAAGAAAUUGAAUAUACAUAAUUUUUUUAUUGCCCAAUUUUUUUUUUUUCAAACAAUUAAUUUUUUAUCUUAAAUAUUACCACUUUGUAACAAGACAAUUAGUACUAUUAAGUUAAUCAACUUCAUUAAUUUUUUUCAUUCAUAGGAACAUUGUUUUUCUUUACUAAUUAUUACUAUGUAUUUGUAUUUUCAUUUGUUCUGCUAAGGUGCGGAAAGAGUUUAAGAAAUUUUCUUUGAAGACUAGGGAUAACAUUGUAAUGUGAAGCAUUUGUCAAGUCUGAAGAAACAUUAAAAGGAGUGAAGAUGUUUGGUCAAACAUUUUGACAUUUUAAAUUUAGUUUCGCAAUUUUAGUUUUUCACAAUAUUUUUAGGCUCACCCUAUUCAAUUGCUCCUACCUUAAAUUGUUUUUGGUAAAUAUAAUCAACUUGUAAAUAAAUAUAUUUUUUUUUUUUUAAUUUAAACUUGUCUGACGCUACAUUAUGCAUAUGUUUAAAUUAAUUCAUUAUGUAAUAAGCAAACGAGUUAAAAGUGAAUAAUAAAAAGUUUUCGUAUUCUAAA
rnacentral:misc_RNA from 1 species